AUGGCCUGGUCCCCUCUCCUCCUCACACUCCUCGCUCACUGCACAGCGUCCUGGGCCCAGGCUGUGCUGACUCCGCUGCCCUCAGUGUCUGCGGCCCUGGGACAGACGGUCACCAUCUCUUGUACUGGAAAUAGCACCCAAAUCAGCAGUGGUUAUGCUGUACAAUGGUACCAGCAGCUCCCAGGAAAGUCCCCUGAAACUAUCAUCUAUGGUGAUAGCAAUCGACCCUCGGGGGUCCCAGAUCGAUUCUCUGGCUUCAGCUCUGGCAAUUCAGCCACACUGGCCAUCACUGGGCUCCAGGAUGAGGACGAGGCUGAUUAUUACUGCCAGUCCUUAGAUGACAACCUCAAUGGUCACACAGUGCUCUGGGCCAGGGAGGAAGUGAAACACAAACCUGCUCUCCCCCCAGAAAUGAAUUUUGCUUUGCAACACCCAUUGUUUGGCCAAUUCAGCUUCACCCUUUGUUUGGUGUAA